rnacentral:ncRNA from 1 species
UUAAAGGUUAUGAUAGGGAGGGAAAUAAUUUUUAGGAUUACAGAGAAUCGGGGUAGCUGAGAACCGAUAUCUAAAGGAUUAUUUUUGUAGCCCUUGAACUGCAAAAUUGAAAGGAAAUUCUAAGUAGGUUUUGCCGGAAUCCUAGUUUUUAGGAGACAGCAUCCGUUAUCAUAUGCUGAAGUAUAAAUUGUACUAGAUUAUUUAGUAUGAGAGUACUUAUUGAGACUGCUAUUUUAAGAUGGUAGUGAAUUUGGGUGGUACCACGUGAGAAGACCUCUCGUCCCAAUU